rnacentral:rRNA from 1 species
GACGUAGGGCGCGAGCGUUGUCCGGAUUUAUUGGGCGUAAAGAGCUCGUAGGCGGCUCAUUGCGUCAACCGUGAAAACCAGCAGCUCAACUGUUGGCUUGCGGUUGAUACGGGUGGGCUGGAGUUCGGUAGGGGAGACUGGAAUUCCUGGUGUAGCGGUGAAAUGCGUAGAGAUCGGGAGGAACAUCCGUGGCGAAGGCGGCUCUCUGGACCAGCACUGACGUUGAGGCACGAAAGCGUGGGGAGCAAACAGG